rnacentral:tRNA from 1 species
GUCCACUUAGCUCAGCUGGAUAGAGCAACGGCCUUCUAAGCCGUAGGUCAGGGGUUCGAAUCCCUUAGUGGACGCCA